CCUACGGGUGGCAGCAGUGGGGAAUUUUGGACAAUGGGCGCAAGCCUGAUCCAGCCAUGCCGCGUGCAGGAUGAAGGCCUUCGGGUUGUAAACUGCUUUUGUACGGAACGAAACGGCCUUUUCUAACAAAGAGGGCUAAUGACGGUACCGUAAGAAUAAGCACCGGCUAACUACGUGCCAGCAGCCGCGGGAAUACGUAGGGUGCAAGCGUUAAUCGGAAUUACUGGGCGUAAAGCGUGCGCAGGCGGCGAUGUAAGACAGUUGUGAAAUCCCCGGGCUCAACCUGGGAACUGCAUCUGGGACUGCAUCGCUGGAGUACGGCAGAGGGGGAUGGAAUUCCGCGUGUAGUAGUGAAAUUCGUAGAUAUGCGGAGGAACACCGAGGGCGAAGGCAAUCCCCUGGGCCUGUACUGACGCUCAUGCACGAAAGCGUGGGGAGCAAACAGGAUUAGAUACCCGAGUAGUC
rnacentral:rRNA from 1 species